rnacentral:rRNA from 1 species
GUGUCAGCAGCCGCGGUAAGACAGAGGCCACGAACGUUGUUCGGAAUCACUGGGCAUAAAGCGCACGUAGGCGGCUAGGUCCGUCCGAUGUGAAAGCCCCCGGCUCAACCGGGGAAUAGCAUCGGAUACAGCCUGGCUUGAGGACGGUUGGGGUGAGUGGAACUCCUGGUGGAGCGGUGAAAUGCGUAGAUAUCAGGAGGAACACCGGUGGCGAAAGCGGCUCACUGGACCGUUUCUGACGCUGAGGUGCGAAAGCUAGGGGAGCAAACGGGAUUAGAUACCCGAGUAGUCC